rnacentral:rRNA from 1 species
UACGUAGGGGGCAAGCGUUGUCCGGAUUUAUUGGGCGUAAAGCGCUCGCAGGUGGUUCGUCGCGUCGUGCGUGAAAGACCCCGGCUCAACUGGGGGGUGUCGUGCGAUACGGGCGGACUGGAGGCCAGUAGGGGGAUGCGGAAUUCCGGGUGUAGUGGUGGAAUGCGUAGAGAUCCGGAGGAACACCAGCGGCGAAGGCGGCAUCCUGGACUAGUCCUGACACUCAUGAGCGAAAGCGUGGGGAGCGAUCCGG